rnacentral:rRNA from 1 species
GACAGAGGAUGCAAGCGUUAUCCGGAAUGAUUGGGCGUAAAGCGUCUGUAGGUGGCUUUUAAGUCCGCCGUCAAAUCCCAGGGCUCAACCCUGGACAGGCGGUGGAAACUACCAAGCUGGAGUACGGUAGGGGCAGAGGGAAUUUCCGGUGGAGCGGUGAAAUGCGCAGAUAUCAGGAGGAACACCGGUGGCGAAGGCGGGUCUCUGGGCAGUAACUGACGCUGAGGAGCGAAAGCGUGGGGAGCGAACAGG